UAACACACUAUUUUUUACAUAUGCAAGGUACACCAUAGUCUCUCAUCACUAUGAAUAGAUCAAAAGUUAGUUAACUGAUCCAUAAAAUUUGAUAUCAACAUAUAUAUAUAUAGGUAGUAGUACAAAAAUAUCACCUCUUAUCUCUCAAUUUAAAUCUAAGCUUAUAAGUUGGUAUGUUGUUAACUUCAAGCAUUUUCAUCUCCCCAAUGUCAAUAGUUUGACCAACCACAUCUAUAAACAAUUAACAAAGUAAAGAACGUGGAUAGAAACAUAUAUAAUAAGUAAA
rnacentral:lncRNA from 1 species